AAUAAAUAUUUUAUUAUAUUAUUUAAUUUUUUUAUAAUAGUAGACAGAAUAGAAUUUUUAUUGAUAUAUUUUAUUUAUCUUAAACAUGAAGUAAAUAAUACUAAAUAAAUUAUGUUUUUGAUAUAUACGGCAUAUUUACGAGAGUUACACUAGACUAUAUAUUUGUAGAAAAAAACAUCAAAAUUUUCGUAAAAAAGUAACAAGAUAACGAAAAAGAAACAAAUGGUUACUUUAACAGUAACGUGUUAUAACAUUCCUAAUUCUGGUUCAUACCCAGUGUUUUUGCAAAAGCGAAAUAUAAUAGACUAAAGUGUCGAUUUGUCUCACCGUGUGGACAUGUUCACAUGUUAAAUCGUAAAUCGCGUGCGAAGCAAAUUACGCUACUCGAUGGGGGCGAUGUAACGCUGACGUUGGAUAGAUCCGAUACGGUUUGACUGACGCCAAACGACGUUGUGUAUAGCAAUCCCACGUGUAACUAUCACGCUUCACGGAUAUUUACUCCAUGCAUACAGGUAAAUGUAAAAUCAAUAGACCGCGUGCUUUCUUUAUGAUAUACAAGGCUACGAGAACCUAUCUUCUAGGUCAUAAAAUGGAUAGUUCGAUCGUUCCAAACAAGCGGAUAUUAAUAAAAGGCAUAAUUGUAACUAUGUAUUCGAAAAGAAAUCGGCGAUUCUAAAAGACGCUGAGUCUAAUAAUAGCAACAAGAGUAACACAGACAACCAAUUAAUAAUUUAUAUACAUUUGCUGCUCGCAGAUAGAAAAGUAGCCAUUUUAAUCAAAUGAGAGAAUCCGGGACAACCCAAAUCGUAUUGAUCCAUAUUGUUUCUAGAAACACCUCCGCAUCGAGUUAAUUAUAAUUGAGUCAUUUAGACAGAGUCUAGAUAAUUCUCUCUUUAAUAUGCAACGUAAUACUUUAUAAUCAUCAAGAUCAUCCGAAUCUUUAUUAAACGAACUAGCUGUAAUAACUAGCAAUUGAUUUUGCUGAAAUAACAAAUCAAAUUCUUACCAAAUAGUAAUUGCAUUUAAUUGCAAAGACAUUACAUCUUGAUGCUAUAAACUCACACUGAUUACAUUAUUACUUAUUAUUAAUUCUGACACACGAAAUUGAUAGCAAAUUUAAUGUCCGAUUAAAAUCUGACUCGAUUAAAUUAUUAAUUCGUCACAUAAUUUCACGCGAAUUGUUGUUUAUCUACCAAAGUACAAUGAAUAUGCAAAAGUUUUUUAUUAAAUUAACGAAGAUCCUUCAAGUAUGAUGUAAUUAAAAGUUUCUACAAGUAUACGGAGUGUACAAAUGUAAGUACGUUCCGUUCCGCUUGAGUUGAAACAGAUUUGAAUUCUUCCGAGAUUUUCCACGACAAAACAAAGUUUUAUAAGAAAUAAAAAAAAUCAAAUAAAAUAAAACUUUUUUUAAGACUCAAAGUACGUAGAAAAUAGUAAAAAAAAUUUGAAUGAACAUUUAAAUUAUGUAAUAAUUAAAAAAUUAUCACAUCCAUAUCACUUGAAAAGAUAAAAACUAAAAUGUACGAAUUAUUUAGCUAAAACAAAAAUGGCAUCAGUAUAAAACCGAAAAAGUAAUAAAAUAAAAGCUGACAUUAAAAAAACGGUACAUUUGAACAAAUAAUCCAUGACAAACUGUAACAAUGCAAUGACAAAGCCAAGACUUGUCUUCAUGUCCUUGUAUCCUUUAAAUAAAUCUGGAUUAAUUGCUGGAGAUUACAAUAUUAUAUCUCGGACUUAUUUACUUCUCACUACAUAACAUAAUUAUUUUUCACGUAUGUGUGUGUAUGUGAGAAAUAAAUAUUAAAUAAAUUUUAAUUAAAUAAUAUAAUAAACGUGUUUAUUAUUUUAUUACCAUAAAUUUAUUAAAAUAAUAAAUAAUAUUAAUAAUAAUAAAUUUAUAAAUAUAAUAUAUGCAUAAUAUAAGUAUAAUAAAUUAACAUUUUAUGUUACGCGCUAUCAAAGAAAUCGUUGAUUCAAAGAAAUUAAUUAGAAUAUUUAAAAAAAUUUUCCAUAAAAUUGUCAAAAUGUUAAAAACUUUGACGUACUGAUAUGAAGAAAGAUAUAAAUUUUAUAAAAGUUUAUCUGGAUUUUAAGGGAUGAGAAGAAAGCAGAUUAAAGAAAGAUAGCAGACAAUAUUCUAUUAAAACUGGUCGCGAAACCAGAUCACCAAUCUUAUAAAGAUCUUUCGAAUUCAGGGAAGGCUGACUUUAUUUUGCAAAUAAUCGGUAUUAUACAUGUUUCGUUGAAUAAUAUCCAUUUUCCCUUUUUUUCUAUGCAACAUUUGAUGACCAGUAUAAAUGCACAAUAACAACAUCUUAUAAAAAAUAGGAUAAUGCUAUACUCAAUAGAAGGAUAAAAUUAGAACAAUUACAUCUUGUUGAUAGUCUACUAACAUAUUUUUUAGAUUUCUUUUUAGCAUUUACAGUAGUGGUCAAAAAUCUUUUGACAAAUAGUUUUUUGUAAUUUAUGUUAUUAAUAACAAUAUUAUACAUAUAUUAAAUUUUAUAAUAUAAACUUUGCACACAAUAACACAUGUUUAUAAUAAAAUUAUGUCUUGUUAAAAACUGAAGCCGCAUUUUUCUUUUAUUUAAUCCCAAAAAUAAGAGAUGUAAUCCACGGUACCAAAUACCCACUGUAAAACAUGAUGGAGGAUAAGUUAUGGUUUGGGAAUGUUUCUCUGUUAAUAAUACUCUUAUUCCGUCUCUUAUUCCGUAUAAAAGGUGCGAUAGAUCGAUUUAUACAUCAAGAUAUCUUAGAAAAACAAAUGUUAUCUUAUUCUAGAAAAAACAGAGAGGAAUACUGAGGCUCGCUUAUUUAACACGAGAGAAACUUUCCGGUGAUUCAUAUUUAAUCUUGAUCGUUGAAGUUUAAACAUAUCAUUAAACAUACUAAAUUGAAAAUGUCAUUUAUUAGCAUGAACAAAUUCAAUAAAUAAAUUGUAGUACACAAAGAUUCUCUUCUAAAGGCAUUUAGAGAAAAACGUGGUAUAAAAAUUGAAUUGUAAAGAUUGUGAUGCAUCCUAUGUUGGCCAGACGGGGAAACACUAAGAACUAGAAUGAAAGAACACAAGAUACAUUUAUACCAAAAUACAAGUACCCGUUCAGUAAUCACGGAGCAUAGAAUACAACACAAUCAUAAAUUUUAUUGGGAGGUUCUGUCCGUUCCCUUGUAAGAGAAGCUUUAAGGGGAUGCUGGAGUCGUCUGUUUGAAUUGCUAAUUAUUUUCGCUUGGCUCUUAAUUGAUUUUAUAGAAUUGUAAAUCUUUCUCCAGAAUUAAAGUAUAGAUAAUAACAAACCCUGCUAGAUACAAUUUUCUUUAAAAAAGAAGAAAAAAUUGGAAAAUUAUACUUUUGUGCAGUUGUCUCGUGACUUUCAUCCGCAGCACUAAGUUUCAAAAUUUUUACGUACAAAAUAACUGUUAUGCAGGGUUGUCACUAUAGGAAAGAAUAAUAAUGUGCUUUCGGAACAGCUAGAAGCUUUUGAUAUAAAAGAAAAAUGUAUCUGAAAAUUUCAUGUAUGCGUGAAUGCGAAUUUGGAAGAAAUCGAUAAGUAGAGUAAUAUAAGAAAAAUUGUUUCUUCUUGAUAUAAAAUCCCAUUCACAGAUUGAUAUUAAUAUGUGUACUUUAAUUCUGGAAAAGAAUUUCCAAAUCUAUAAAAAAAAUAUAAUGAUGUGCACGAAUGAUUCUACAUUAUCGACCCCGAUCAAGUUUGAGAGGCAGUCCUAUAGACAUAGUAAGUAUAGACCGAGCAUUUGUUGUAUAAGUGUGAUACAUACUGAAAAGAAAGAGAAAAGAUGUGAGAAGAGUUUCUUUCUCUCUCUGACAUCAUCGUAGUAGGGAGAGCCUGACAGGGGAAAUGAUGAAUCGACGCGAGAAGAUGAGGAGAAGUGCUCCCCACUUCUCCGGCAUUAAAAAGAGAAAAAAGAUCUUCUUAUAUCUUUUCUCUUUCUUUUCGUAUGCAUCAAUGCUUAUACAGCGGAAUGCUCGAUCUAUACUAUGAUAUCUGUUAAGUUAGCACCCCCACCACAAAAAUUCGAAAAAAUAAUUAUGCAGAAAUUAUGUGCUCUUUAUGUGCUAAUUUUGUGCUGCAUUUGUGAUUUUUGUGCUCAAGCGGGUUAGCGGGAAUCGUAAAUGAAAAUGGGAAUGCUAGCUUAACAUAAGUUAGCACCCCCACUUAUUGAAAUUAUACGCAAGACAAAAAAAA